GACGAACCGUGCAAACGUUGUUCGGAAUCACUGGGCUUAAAGGGCGCGUAGGCGGCUUGCCAAGUCAGGGGUGAAAUCUUUCGGCUUAACCGGAAAAGUGCCUUUGAUACUGGUAAGCUUGAGGGAGGUAGGGGCAUGUGGAAUUUCCGGUGGAGCGGUGAAAUGCAUUGAGAUCGGAAAGAACACCAACGGCGAAAGCACUCUGCUGGGCCGACACUGACACUGAGAGACGAAAGCUAGGGGAGCAAAUGGG
rnacentral:rRNA from 1 species